rnacentral:lncRNA from 1 species
CUUAAGUCUCUUUCUAUUUUCCCAAGUGUUCUUACUCUUUAGCUUGUUCCUUCUGUUUUCCGAGUUCAUCAAAUUCCUUUUUAUUUUGGUGAGUUUUUAUUUUCUUUUGUCAUUACUUGAGUCUUAUCAUUUUGUCACUUUUCUUUCAUGUUUGUUUUGCAUCAGUGGCAGAUCUAUUAAUAAAGUCCAGUAAGAGGAAAGAAGAAAUCAAGGGGAUGAUAGUCUCACCAUUAGUAACCAGGUUUUUUGUACCGUCAUGGAGGAUGAUAUGCAAUGAGUCCUUUAGUUGAAGGGACUGAUGAUCCCAAUUACCAC